rnacentral:hammerhead_ribozyme from 1 species
AUUUAUCAGACGAGUCCCAUAUAGGACGAAGUGAUGUGAGUCCUAGAU